AACGAACGCUGGCGGCAUGCCUAACACAUGCAAGUCGAACGAGAUCUUCGGGUCUAGUGGCGCACGGGUGCGUAACGCGUGGGAAUCUGCCCUUUGGUUCGGAAUAACAGUUGGAAACGACUGCUAAUACCGGAUGAUGACGAAAGUCCAAAGAUUUAUCGCCAGAGGAUGAGCCCGCGUAGGAUUAGCUAGGUGGUGUGGUAAAGGCGCACCAAGGCGACGAUCCUUAGCUGGUCUGAGAGGAUGAUCAGCCACACUGGGACUGAGACACGGCCCAGACUCCUACGGGAGGCAGCAGUGGGGAAUAUUGGACAAUGGGCGAAAGCCUGAUCCAGCAAUGCCGCGUGAGUGAUGAAGGCCUUAGGGUUGUAAAGCUCUUUUACCCGGGUUGAUAAUGACAGUACCGGGAGAAUAAGCUCCGGCUAACUCCGUGCCAGCCGCCGCGGUAA
rnacentral:rRNA from 1 species